GUCGAAUUGGACCGCUAUUUUUCUAUAUAAAGACGUUCAUUCGUAAUGUAACUUUAAUUCGCUACAAUUUGCUUUAAAUUGCAAACGAUUUUAUUUAUAACAUAACAAAUUUAAAAUGUCGAACAAGACAGCAAUGUUAUUACUUGUUAUUUUCUUUGUUGCAGCAGCUAUUUUUGAGGUAGCGCAAUGUUUACCAAACCCGGAUCCGCAAACUUUCAUUUUGGACGGUUACGAUCCAGACGACUAUGCCAGUAUCUAAAUUCAAAGACAUUCACAUUUCACAUUAUUUACAUUCUUAUAUAAAGAAAACAUUUCUAAUUAUAUUUUUUAUGUAUUUAAUAGCACUCCGUAAUGUAAUACUAUGUACCGACAUGAAUAUAUUUGAAAACAACUA